rnacentral:rRNA from 1 species
AUUGAACGCUAGCGGGAUGCCUUACACAUGCAAGUCGAACGGAGUGGCGAACGGGUGAGUAAUGUAUCGGAACGUGCCCAGUAGCGGGGGAUAACUACGCGAAAGCGUAGCUAAUACCGCAUACUAUUGGAGCGGCCGCUAUGGGAUUAGCUAGUUGGUGGGGUAACGGCUCACCAAGGCGACGAUCCGUAGCUGGUGUGAGAGGACGACCAGCCACACUGGUACUGAGACACGGCCCAGACUCAUACGGGAGGCAGCAGUGGGGAAUUUUGGACAAUGGGGGAAACCCUGAUCCAGCCAUCCCGCGUGAGCGAUGAAGGGCUUCGGGUUGUAAAGCACUUUUGGUAGGGAAGCGGUACCUGCAGAAUAAGCACCGGCUAACUACGUGCCAGCAGCCGCGGUAAUAC